rnacentral:lncRNA from 1 species
UUCAAUUCACACACAUAUAUAUACUCUAUUUGUUCGAAAAAUAGCUAGACAUUUUUUUGUCUAUUCUAAAUUUAGAUAUAUAUAUAUUUUCAAACUAUAAAAUUACAUAACAUGCCAUUACUUGUAUUGUAUCAUCACACCAAUAGUACAUUUCUAUCCAGGAAUGAAUGUAAAAACAUAAUAUAUAUAUAUAAUCUCAAAAGCGAAUUGGUUCGUUAAUGAAUCAGGUUCGGACCAUCGUCAUAGAACAGAAAGUUAUCAUCGUAUGCUACGGCGACGAGACGAAAUCUAUAUAUAUAUAUUUUCAGAAUCAUCCUUUUACAAAUAUAUCUCUAUGGAGAAUUAAUAUAAGUGCAAAACAACUAAGAAUUUAGCCCAUCCUUGUGGUCAGAUAAGCUCAUAAAUCAUGAUAGAUGCUCCUCUGAUUCUACAACAUCAACUUGAUGAAUCUCAUCAUGAUUAAAUGGAGUGGAGUGUUGGGAAUUUCAUAGAUUGGGAAAACGGUUGCCUCCACAGGGUUAAAGAAAAUAAAUAUGUACCACCAGCAAAAAAUCUAAAAUUAAAUUGCCUUUUUUUUUCUUUUUCUGUUUAUUGUUCAGAU